UCCAGGUGUUUACCAUGAAAAGCCAUUGCUUACUGUUGAUUCAGAACCCCAGGGACUCUCAGAAAGAAAUGUGACUCUCCUCUGUCAUCCACCUACUUUCUUUGACACCUUCAUCUUCUGCAGAGAUGGAAAUGCUUCCUUUCCCCAGAACUGCUUAUGUCAGGACUCCAACACAUUUCCUAUCUCUCCUGGGAGCUCAAGGCACAGGAGUACCUAUAGAUGCUUUGGCUCUUACAGAGACAACCCUAACCUGUGGUCACUGCCUAGUGACCCUCUUGAGCUCUCUUUCUCAGCUCCAGCCCAGCCCUGGACAUUGAAGAAAACAAUAAAUAUGAUGACUUGGAGGGCAUUCAACCUGAGAACAGCAGCCAGGUGGACACACAGGUGAGCUCUCUUUUCCUC
rnacentral:lncRNA from 1 species